rnacentral:rRNA from 1 species
GACGGGGGAUGCAAGUGUUAUCCGGAAUCACUGGGCGUAAAGCGUCUGUAGGUGGUUUAAUAAGUCAACUGUUAAAUCUUGAGGCUCAACUUCAAAACCGCAGUCGAAACUAUUAGACUAGAGUAUAGUAGGGGUAAAGGGAAUUUCCAGCGGAGCGGUGAAAUGCGUAGAGAUUGGAAAGAACACCGAUGGCGAAGGCACUUUACUGGCUAUUACUAACACUGAGAGACGAAAGCUAGGGUAGCAAAUGGG